rnacentral:rRNA from 1 species
UACGGAGGGUGCAAGCGUUAUCCGGAUUCACUGGGUUUAAAGGGUGCGUAGGCGGGGAGAUAAGUCCGGGGUGAAAUCUCUGAGCUUAACUCAGAAACUGCCAUGGAUACUAUUUGUCUUGAAUAUUGUGGAGGUAAGCGGAAUAUGUCAUGUAGCGGUGAAAUGCUUAGAUAUGACAUAGAACACCAAUUGCGAAGGCAGCUUACUACACAGUUAUUGACGCUGAGGCACGAAAGCGUGGGGAUCAAACAGG